rnacentral:rRNA from 1 species
GAUGAACGCUGGCGGCGUGCCUAAUACAUGCAAGUCGAGCGAACGGACGAGAAGCUUGCUUCUCUGAUGUUAGCGGCGGACGGGUGAGUAACACGUGGAUAACCUACCUAUAAGACUGGGAUAACUUCGGGAAACCGGAGCUAAUACCGGAUAAUAUUUUGAACCGCAUGGUUCAAAAGUGAAAGACGGUCUUGCUGUCACUUAUAGAUGGAUCCGCGCUGCAUUAGCUAGUUGGUAAGGUAACGGCUUACCAAGGCAACGAAGCAUAGCCGACCUGAGAGGGUGAUCGGCCACACUGGAACUGCGACACGGUCCAGACUCCUACGGGAGGCCGCAGUAGGGAAUCUUCCGCAAUGGGCGAAAGCCUGACGGAGCAACGCCGCUUGUGUCGUGAAGGUCUUCGGAUCGUAAAACUCUGUUAUUAGGGAAGAACAUAUUUGUAAGUUACUGUGCGCAUCUUGACGGUCCCUGAUCAGAAAGCCCCGGCUAACUACUUG